UCCGGUGGUUAUAGCGAAGCGGUCACACCCGAUCCCAUCCCGAACUCGGAAGUUAAGCGCUUCAGCGCCGAUGGCACUGCCAGGGAAGCUUGGUGGGAGAGUAGGACGCUGCCGGAU
rnacentral:rRNA from 1 species